UUAAAUAUAGAAAAAUAUAUAAUGUGUAUAAGCUUACAACACAGAUCGAUUCACCAUAAAAUACAUGCAGUAGUUAAAAAAUAAAAAGGAAAGAAGAACAUUCAUACUUCCAGAUACGAGAAAUAUAUGUCAUUACAAUUGCUCCCAAUCUUAUAUGCAAAGCUACAAUAGCAGCAAGAAAAUAUAGAAAAAGUGUUAAAUCACUAUUAUAUAGUUCAAAACUCUUGGUCAAGUAUGUACAAUGCAGAUCAAUUCUCAAUGUUGUAAUAGUACAGUCAAUGCACUUGUCGUUGCUUUCCAUUGGCCGAUCCUCCUCCGCUAUGCCGAAAUUAUUGUUUUUACGAUAUCUCCCCUUCGUGCAACUGUUUAAAAAGUUAAUCAGAUCAAAUUAAAGCCAAACAUAGAUACGCAUAUAUGGAUUUUAUUGAGAAUUUGUUAAUUCCUGUUGCAAGUGAAUUGAGUGUGGCAUAUGCAUACAAGCAGUCGGAUUCUGAUUUAUUGAUUUCUGACUUAUAUCCACUAUAUGAGAGUACAUGAUAGAUUUGACGAUAUGGAUAUAUUUUUAGGACCCAACAUGUCUCACAUAAAGAAACAAUAAUUAAAGGCUAAAUUACAUAAAACUUUUAUAUCAAUACCCGCUUCUUCACUUUUCUCCCGUCAUUUAAAAACCUACAAUUUGACCCACAGGGUGUACGGUGUGACAGAAUGACCAAAUUGCCCUCAUCUUCUUGAUUUCCUCCCCAAUGUUACUCAUCCCAGUGGCGGAGGAGGGCGAGAGCAUGUGUUUGGGUAUGGACAGAAGGGUGGGCAAGGGCGAGGCGGCGAUGGUAGGCGAGGCAGCGGCCGAAGGCUUGUGUAUGGGCAUUGAUAAGGGUUUCAAGGGUAUUUUGAGUAUAGAAAAAAGAUAUAAAUAGACCUAACAGAAUACUGACGGCGGGGGCGAAGUGAAUAUUUUUUAUUUUUCAAUAGGGCAAAGUAUAGGUUUUUGAACGACGGGGGAAAGUGAAAAAGCGGGUAUUGACAUGGGGAUUUUCUGUAAUUUAGCCAAAAUUAAAUUAGAGUGCUUGUAUAUGCGACAAAAUAAUAUUAAAUGAUAGUCUAUCAUAAAUUUAAUUAAUAAUACUGUUACAAUAAUGGCUGGGUCGCUAUGUACACCAAUUCCAUAAGGUAAGUCGCUUGACGAUGAAUUGUUAAUCGUAGGCCUUCGCAGAUAAACCUAUUUUAAUAAACCAGUUGGUGCCAAAGAAUAAAAUAUUGAAAAUUACAAGAAGAAAAUAGUAAAAUCGAACUAUAUAUCCAGAAUUAAGAAAAUUAAAUGCAUAAAAAAAGUACAAAAUAUUUACACACUAUUGGGAGGAGGCCGAGUGUGAUGAUGAAACACGAUUAUAGAUGGAACAUUCACCGCGAUAUAUCAUGUCCCUAAUUAUCUAACAUAUUGAAAUAUAUCAGAAAAUAUCAAUUAUUGUCAUCUACUAUAAAUUAGAAGCCAACAAUAAUUGAUUACGUAGGUGGAGAUAUACUUCUUGCUUAUUGGCUUUCAUCUUCAACCUUCGUAUAGCUUUAGUCAUUGACUCUUUUUUUUGCUUGGUAGGUGGCCCUUACUGCGAACUGAUAGGGGCUCAGUACUCUUCGGUCGUUAGUUCUAAAUUCGACCAGCUUUAGAAGGUGUUAGUUCAAUCUGCGAACAUUCGACAUCAUUGCUCCCUUUGGAUGAUGAAGUGUUUUUCAAUUUAGUCUUCAAAUCUUACAACGUACGUAACGCUACUUCACAUUUCUCAUUGGACUUAGAAAUUAUGUUCGCAAUGUUAUAAAUAUGACUAGAUACUUCUUCAUAUCACUAAUUUCAGAGGCACUCUCUAAGUUCUUAUGCCAUGCUUUCAAUCCGGGUAUAUCGCCGUUUGACGUUCUCCCACCAUUGUUUUAGUAUGUAAGAAUUUAGGACAAUCAUCAACUUUCUAUAAACUAGGACGACAAUUGAAUAUCAGUAUAAAAUACCAUUGUACUCAAAAUAACAGCAAAUACAACUUAUUAGGAAGCUACACUCAUCAAAAUAUACUAUGAAGACUAUAUCUUUUCCUCCAUCACCAUACUCAUUAACUAGAUAAGAAUGCGCAGUGCCCUUUCGAAGAUAGUAAAGAUGUCUCAUAUUAAAUUACUUCAACUAUGCCUGAAAUUCUCUAAAUUUUGCAAUGGUGUAUAUAUCUUAAAAUUGCUUCUCAAAUGCAUAGUAUCGGGAUGACUGAGCUGAAUGAUUUGUAGUAUAAUUCUAUUUCUUCUUCAGCUUUAUUCUUUACAUCACUUUCAUACUGCUUAACGAAUUAUUUUAACGAAAUCUUUGAGUUCACAUAUCCAUCAAAAAAUAAAUUCAUACUUUCGUUUCGCUAUGUCGUGGACAUUCCAACCCAAAAUAUAUCCUUCACAUAAACUGGCACCCACUUACAUCUCUCCUUGUAUAGGCCUGACAAUCAUUCAUUAUUUUUAAGUUCGUAACAAAUUAUUAUUCUUUUACUUUUUUUGCUCAAAUUCAACUUCUAUUAGUGAUUCAUAAAUAGCUUCCAUCAUAAUACUCUUAAUUGAGUGAUAUUCACUAUAGCUUCUUAGCUACUCCGAUAUGUUAUUUGUUAUGUGGCAUAAACACCAUCAAUGCCGAGUAUCAGGAAAGACCAGUGCUAUAGCAUUUUUGCUUUGUCUUGAUCGGUGAUUAUUGUUUUAGGGGCACGAUCGAGCAUACAUGACAACCAAUUCAAAAAGACUAUACAAAUGAAUAUGUAUCUUCAGCAAAGAGCAGGCCGCAUCCCAAGAAGAUUGACUGACCAUGAUGAUUAACUCCCACGAAAGGAGCAAACUGUAUGUAGUAUUUAUUUGUUAGAUCUGUCGAGUCGAAAGUAAUUAUAUUUUCAAAACAUUCAUAGGCUGCUCUGCUUCGAGCAUCUGCUUAUAAUGCAUUGCAAAUCCGAGAAUCAUCGUCUAGAUCUAUGGCAUAGAAAAAAUUUGCCUUCCUUUUUUGCAUGCUUCAAAAAUUAUGACAAAUAGUUGUGCCAUCAACUUCACUAAGUCAUAACUGGCGGUUUUUAUCGAUAUAGUUACGAGCGUCUUUCUCUCUAAAUGUUAAAUUUUCAUAUCCACUUGUCUCAACAACAAUUGAAACUUUUAUUCAAUCUGAUUCCGGCACGAUCAUUAAGAUCAAGCUGCCUUUUAGUGCUUCGAUCUAUAACUCGAUUGUAGAAAAAAAAAAGUCUAGAGUUAUGAGGACUUAGGGCAUAAUUAUGCUCAAGUUUAAUUUUGCUUUCUACACAAGAUGAAUUCAAAUUUAUUACCACAUUUAUCCUUACAGAACAGUCCGUCUUUGCUAUCGAUGGACAAGGAUAAAGAUUACUCACGAUCUGAUGCACUUUUUCUUGACAAGAACGUGCGAUGAUUACAUACGUAGUAUUGCCAUCAGUUAUUUUAGUAGACCUCUUUAAAAUUCAAAAUUUUAAUUGUUGUGCAUAAUACUUUUAGAAAUCAAAAGCUAUUUUCAAAUUAUUGAAAGGCAUUCCAAUUUCUGGUACUGAACUAUUUACAUUUGUGACAUGAUAGCUUAUUUCGUCAUCCAUCUCAAAAAUCAUCAACUAAAGUUAUCAGUGUGCCUAGAUAUUUAAAAAAUUGGUAGCCGAACACACCAUAUUUAGUUUGAAUACAAAAUUAGAAUAAUGAUAAAGGAGCAAAAUAUUUAUCAAAAUCGAAAAAAAAUGUACAUAAUGUAUAGGAACAGUACUUCUAAAGUUAUAAUAUAUAGACAGCAUUCUACAAUCUCUAAAAAUGUGUUCUUGCAGCGAAAGAAAACAAUNAUGAGCGGGGUAGCUCUUUACCUAUGAGCGGGGUAGCUCUUGACCUAUGAGUUUGAGUUAGAGUCGGGGCGAAGAGCGGGGUAGCUCUUGCCCUUAGGCAUUUGAGUAUGAGUUGGGCGAGGAGCGGGGUAGCUCUUCACCUAUAGGACUUGAGAUCUGAGUUGGGCAAAGAGCGGGGUAGCUCUUUUAGCUAUAGCAUUCAACACGAGUCGGGUAAGAGCGGGGUAGCUCUCUACCUGUAGUGUUAGAGUUGUGAGACGGGUGAGACAAGAGCGGGGUAGCUCUUCACCUGCGUGGUUUGAGAUCUUAGGCAGGGUAACCUAAUAGAUUGGGUAUUGACAUGAAUUGCCUAAGCAAAUUUGCAUUCAUACCAUGAUUAGACAUAGUAUAUGUUAGAGAGUUACAUAACUAUGUUGUAUUUGUAUUCAUUCCAAUGUUAAAGCAUACUAGCAUGAUAAAUGAUAUUGCAUGCAUUCCUUGCAUUUUGUGGCAUAGUAGAUAUAGUAGUUGUUUAUUUCUAUAUAUCUCUCUAUCUAUCUAUCUGUGCCAGCUUAGACCUAGUGGGAAGAUCGACGGAGUCGGCGGCCGAACCCACUGGGAACUAUAUUUAUAUAGUUCUCACCCCGUGUGGUUUUGGGGUACAGGUACACGUGAGAGCGGACCGGCAGGUGAUCGUGGUAAGGGCUUAGCACCCUAGAGUUGGUAGCAUACCUUCCUAUUUUGCAUUAGAUUACCUAUACUUUUGAGAGUAGAUGAUGUAUAGGUGUGAGAUAUUUUGGAAGCUAAUUUGUAACCCUUAUGUUAUAUUUUGGAAGCUUAAAUGUAAUCAAGAUGUACUAAAGAUUGAAUGGAUGUAAAUGAUGAAUGUCAAAUGUGAUCUAAUAGUUAGCUUAUUCCUCUCUUUUAUUCACUUGUAUGAUUCUACUUGUGAUGCUUGCUCUCAUAUUGUUCAGCACUGUUUGUGCUCUCGCUAGUUGUUGAAUGAUUGUGUAUUUAUAUAUUCAAGUGUUUUCCUGGGAACUUGAUGUACACAAUCUCGUCGCUUUAGCCUUGGGCGGACAGGGGAGGUGCUGUCCGUUCGGCGGUCCGCCCGGCGCGCCCGAACCGUGCCAAAUUGGUAGCGGUCUCGGGGCGGGGUGUGACAUUUAGUGUGAGAUGGCGAUAGGCAUAUUUUAUCAGAACACUAAAUGAAGUAAUGAGUUCAAAUUGAAGAAAAGAAAAUAAAAUUUUACUCACAGGGGAGGCGGCUAUUGUGCGUAGUGUAUCGGCAGAUAGGGCCUAAGAUCCCAGCUGGAGAUGGGGGAGCAGAACGCGCAAACGAGGGCUGAGAAUUCCAGUCGAAAAUAGGGGAGGAGAAUUAAGAGAUUCACGAUGGCCACAACGCAAGAGGAGUUCGGCAAAAGAUGGAGGAAGAGAGAGAGGAGUAAAGAUAGAGGAAAGAGAGAGGGAAAAAAGCGAAAGAUAUGGAGGGAGAGAGAGAAAGAAAAAAAGGUGAGAAGCUGGGAGAGUAUGAAGGUAAUAACUAUUUUUUUGAAUAAAAAAAUUUAAAUAAUUUUCAGCAAUUGGAUCACAAUGGUAUAAGAUGUACACUCCAUGCUGGGGUAUACCUGUAGCGCUACUCUUAGAAUUCAUUCUUACGUAGAAUUUUUAUUCGUACUAUUGGGCCCAUUUGCCCUAGAUUCUAGAAAAGUGAUUUUUUUAGAAUUGAUUUUGGUUUGGAGAAAUGAUUUUGGUUAAAAUCUGUACAGCGUUUGGCUGAGUUUAUAUAAAGCAAUUUUUUUAAGUGAUUUUGUAAAGUUGUUGGAAAAUUUUUUUUUUUCGAUGUUUGCAUAUAAUAAUAUUUUUAAAAAUUUUUAUUUUAAAAUAAUUUAAAAUUUUAAUAAAAAUGUAAAAUUUGUACAAAAUUUAAAAUUUGAUAUUUUAAUUUUAAAAAUAAACUUGAAGUUUAAAAUUUUAAAAUUUACAAUUUCAAAUUUAAAAUAUAAAUUUAAAAUUUGACAUUUGAAAUUUAAUAAUUUGAAAUUUGACAUUUGAAAUUUAAUAAUUUGAAAUUUAAAAUUUGAAAUUUGAAAUUUAAAAUUUGAAAUUUGCAAAUUGAAAAUUUAAAUAUAAAAUCUAAAAUUUAAAAUUUAAAAGUUUAAAAAUUUAAAAUUUGAAUAUUUAAAAUUUUUAAAAAAUUUUAAAUUUUAGAAUUAAAAUUUUAAAUUUAAAAUUU
rnacentral:lncRNA from 1 species